CACUGACAUUAGAUACCCGCGUAGUCCAGGGUGUAAACGCUGCAGACUUGGUGUUGGAAAUCCUUCGAGGGUAUUCAGUGCCGGAGAGAAGUUGUUAAGUCUGCUACUUGGGGAGUACGUCCGCAAGGAUGAAACUUAAGGAAUUGGCGGGGAGCACCGCAACGGGAGGAGCGUGCGGUUUAAUUGGAUUCAACACCGUAAACUCACCAGGGAAGACUGUUACAUGAAGGCCGAGAUGAAGACUCUGCUAGAUUUUCAG
rnacentral:rRNA from 1 species